rnacentral:rRNA from 1 species
AGGUUUGAUCCUGGCUCAGGACGAACGCUGGCGGCGUGCCUAAUACAUGCAAGUCGAGCGGAGUUUUGAAAAGCUUGCUUUUCAAAACUUAGCGGCGGACGGGUGAGUAACACGUGGGCAACCUGCCCUUGAGACGGGGAUAACUCCGGGAAACCGGAGCUAAUACCGGAUAAUACAUAUCUUCGCAUGAGGAUAUGUUAGAAGGUGGCUUUUAGCUACCACUCAAGGAUGGGCCCGCGGCGCAUUAGCUAGUUGGUGAGGUAACGGCUCACCAAGGCGACGAUGCGUAGCCGACCUGAGAGGGUGAUCGGCCACACUGGGACUGAGACACGGCCCAGACUCCUACGGGAGGCAGCAGUAGGGAAUCUUCCGCAAUGGACGAAAGUCUGACGGAGCAACGCCGCGUGAGUGAUGAAGGUUUUCGGAUCGUAAAGCUCUGUUGUUAGGGAAGAACAAGUACCUGUUAAAUAAGCAGGUACCUUGACGGUACCUAACCAGAAAGCCACGGCUAACUACGUGCCAGCAGCCGCGGUAAUACGUAGGUGGCAAGCGUUGUCCGGAAUUAUUGGGCGUAAAGCGCGCGCAGGCGGUUCCUUAAGUCUGAUGUGAAAGCCCACGGCUCAACCGUGGAGGGUCAUUGGAAACUGGGGAACUUGAGUGCAGAAGAGGAGAGCGGAAUUCCACGUGUAGCGGUGAAAUGCGUAGAGAUGUGGAGGAACACCAGUGGCGAAGGCGGCUCUCUGGUCUGUAACUGACGCUGAGGCGCGAAAGCGUGGGAGCGAACAGGAUUAGAUACCCUGGUAGUCCACGCCCUAAACGAUGAAUGCUCAAUGUUGGAGAUUUUCCGCCCUUUACUGAUCCAACGCACUCAUUAUUCCCUCUGCCUGGGACGCCCGGUCGGGUGAAUGUCACUCGAAUUGAUUGACGGCCACCCGCACAAACGAGGGAGCGUGUGAAUUAAAUGAAACCAACGGAAACAUACUUACCCUUGCUUGUCAUCCACUGAUUCUUAUACAAAUCAAACGUUCCCUUCACGAACCUAGGGGCUGGUGGGGUGUGGUUGUCUCCUGCCCGGGGCUGGUGAUGUUGGUCUAACUCCCAGCGCGACCCCUAUCCUUGAUUGUAGUUGCCAGCAUUUGGUUACUCUCUCUAAAGUGACUGCCGGUGACAAACCGAAGGAAGGUGGGGAUGACGUCCAAUCAUCAUGCUCCCUUAUGACCUGGGCUACACACGUGCUACGAUGGAUGAUACGGAGGGCUGCUGAAACCGCGAGGCUA